GCAAGGGAAGGGAGAAAAGAGAAGAAGAAGAAGAAGAAGGAGAAGAGCAAGGGAGGAGCAAGGAUUUUCCUACCAACUAAGGGGUAGAACCAAGUGGUGACAAGACACGGUGCGAGGCCAUCGGUUGUCCGUCAUCACCUAGGACUUGAGAUGUUGAUUCAGGUAACCCUUCAAAAACUGUGAUUGAGGAUCCGACUCUCUACGGAGGUGCUCUCUGGGAUGAGGAACUGGUUGCACACGAGAAUGGAUGCGUGUGCAAUGACUGUGCAUUUGGAGCACACUGAGGAUGAGAGUAUUAUCUUCCUUUAGUUUUCUUUUGUACUUAUCAGAUAUAGCCCUUGGGGCAUAAUUGUAAUUGAUAUUUCGUUGCGAAAACAUUUUGUUAAAUAUGAUAAAUACUAUUAGACUCCACCAGUUAUGUAUAUUUGACUCUUAUUAUUAUCUUGUAAUCUAGAAUCAUUUCAUAA